rnacentral:rRNA from 1 species
AUUGAACGCUGGCGGCAGGCUUAACACAUGCAAGUCGAGCGGGGAAGGGUAGCUUGCUACCUAACCUAGCGGCGGACGGGUGAGUAAUGCUUAGGAAUCUGCCUAUUAGUGGGGGACAACAUCUCGAAAGGGAUGCUAAUACCGCAUACGUCCUACGGGAGAAAGCAGGGGAUCACUUGUGACCUUGCGCUAAUAGAUGAGCCUAAGUCGGAUUAGCUAGUUGGUGGGGUAAAGGCCUACCAAGGCGACGAUCUGUAGCGGGUCUGAGAGGAUGAUCCGCCACACUGGGACUGAGACACGGCCCAGACUCCUACGGGAGGCAGUAGUGGGGAAUAUUGGACAAUGGGGGGAACCCUGAUCCAGCCAUGCCGCGUGUGUGAAGAAGGCCUUAUGGUUGUAAAGCACUUUAAGCGAGGAGGAGGCUCUUUUGGUUAAUACCCAGGAUGAGUGAACGUUACUCGCAGAAUAAGCACCGGCUAACUCUGUGCCAGCAGCCGCCGUAA